rnacentral:misc_RNA from 1 species
GGGAAAUUGGCAAAGGUAGCAAAUCUCCCUUAAUCCAAACUUACAAAAACAAAGAUAGAACGAUAGGAAAGAGGAUCUCAAAGCCAUGACGAAACGCUCCUAACCAAUCACAACAAUCCAACUCAGCUUCUGUACUCCAUCUCCCUUAUCCACCCAAAUUCUGCAUUUCCACCACUAAUCCAUCCCUCCCAGAAUCUAAAAACCAUCUCUGCACAUCUUCCAAUAUCUCUGUUUCCUCCUCUUUUGCCUUUUCUCUUUACUGUAAUAAGAACCAAGAAAUCAAGAAAAGGAAAAUGUCUCUUACAAUACCUGCCAAUCUCUCAAAACCCAUGUUGAAGCCAAAACUUGGCCCUUCAUUAUCAGCUUCUUCGUCAAGAUCCAUUAUUGUAUGCUCUGCCUCUCAAACCCCAGAAAAAGACUCCUCUAAAUCACCACUCCAAGCUUUCUCCGCCGCGCUUGCCCUGUCUUCUAUCCUCUUAUCUGCCCCACUCCCCGCCUUGGCUGACAUCUCCGGCCUCACACCAUGCAAAGAAUCCAAACAGUUCGCUAAACGCGAGAAGCAGCAAAUCAAGAAGCUGGAAAAUUCUUUGAAGGUGUAUGCUCCUGAUAGCGCACCUGCUUUGGCGAUCAAGGCAACGAUAGAGAAGACGAAACGCAGAUUCGAUAACUAUGGGAAACAGGGUUUGUUAUGUGGGUCUGAUGGGCUUCCUCAUUUGAUUGUGAGCGGUGACCAGAGGCACUGGGGUGAGUUCAUCACUCCUGGGAUCUUGUUCUUGUAUAUUGCAGGGUGGAUUGGGUGGGUUGGUAGGAGUUAUUUGAUCGCUAUAAGAGGUGAGAAGAAGCCAGCAAUGAAGGAGAUCAUCAUUGAUGUUCCUUUGGCUACCAGCUUGAUUUUCAGAGGAUUUUCUUGGCCUGUUGCUGCUUACAGAGAGUUCGUUAAUGGUGACCUUGUGGUCAAGGAUGUUUAAAUUUAUGUAUCUUCAAACCUCAGAGAGAUAGGGAUGUGGAGGCCAAGGGGUUAUGUAGAGGAUUGCUUUGCCCUAAUGAGGAAUUUCAUGGAAAAUUACUCCUCUUUUAUUUGUGAACAUUUACUUGUAUGUAUCUAAUGCUUGUACGUGUUGGGACACUGGAAAAUUGUUUGCUGUCGCCAUUGGGUUAGGAUGGAUAUCAUCCUUUAUCAACUUUUAUAGUCUCUUAUGCAAAAUGUUAUAUCAAGCCUUUAUGGCAAAGUAUGAAAGAUUUUUCUUUAAUUGGAAGCCCUUUGAGGCUCUCACAGCAUCUUGUUCAUGUCAAGCGCCGAAAGGAAGGCGUUGCAUUUAGGUGGCAAAAGCAUAACUCGAUUUUUUUAGGAGGAUCUAAUUUCAGUGUAUGAAAGCUAACUAAAAAAUAUGCUAAUCAUAAAAAAAAAAAAUAAUAAUAACUCGAUCUAACAUAUAAUGUGAUGGUAAAGUAUAAUCUCAUAGUCUCUUUCUUAUUUAUUUUCUUCUCUCUCUUUUACUUCAUAUUUAUGUUAAAUGCUUAAGAAAUAACAAUCAAUAGAUCUAUGAAAUAUUAACAAUAACACAAAGAAAUCA